rfam:Myotis davidii contig34879, whole genome shotgun sequence.
GGCGGUUCUUGGGUGACACACCCUGGAAUCGGGCUCCCUCUUUCUGGUUCCCCGUGUGUUACCUGGGAACGCA